GGCGGGGUAGCUCAGCCUGGUUAGAGCGCUAGACUCAUAAUCUAGAGGUCGCGGGUCCAAAUCCCGCCCUCGCCA
rnacentral:tRNA from 1 species